GUCUGCAACUCGACUGCACGAAGCUGGAAUCGCUAGUAAUCGCGGAUCAGCACGCCGCGGUGAAUACGUUCCCGGGCCUUGUACACACCGCCCGUCACACCAUGGAAGUCUGCAAUGCCCGAAGCCGGUGGCCUAACCACUUAUGUGGAAGGAGCCGUCUAAGGCAGGGCAGAUGACUGGGGUGAAGUCGUAACAAGGUAUC
rnacentral:rRNA from 1 species